AGGACACUCUAUACGGAGUUACAAAGGACGACAUUAGACGAAUCAUCUGGAAAGAUGAAUCAAAGAAGGUAAUAAUCCUGUAGUCGAAAAUGUUGUCUCUCUUGAGUGGAUCCUGAGUACGACGGAGCACGUGAAAUUCCGUCGGAAUCUGGGAGGACCAUCUCCUAAGGCUAAAUACUCUCUAGUGACCGAUAGUGAACCAGUACCGUGAGGGAAAGGUGAAAAGCACCCCGGAAGGGGAGUGAAAUAGAACCUGAAACCGUGUGCUUACAAGUAGUCAGAGCCCGUUAAUGGGUGAUGGCGUGCCUUUUGUAGAAUGAACCGGCGAGUUACGAUUUGAUGCAAGGUUAAGCAGUAAAUGUGGAGCCGUAGCGAAAGCGAGUCUGAAUAGGGCGUUUAGUAUUUGGUCGUAGACCCGAAACCAGGUGAUCUACCCUUGGUCAGGUUGAAGUUCAGGUAACACUGAAUGGAGGACCGAACCGACUUACGUUGAAAAGUGAGCGGAUGAACUGAGGGUAGCGGAGAAAUUCCAAUCGAACCUGGAGAUAGCUGGUUCUCUCCGAAAUAGCUUUAGGGCUAGCCUCAAGUGAUGAUUAUUGGAGGUAGAGCACUGUUUGGACGAGGGGCCCCUCUCGGGUUACCGAAUUCAGACAAACUCCGAAUGCCAAUUAAUUUAACUUGGGAGUCAGAACAUGGGUGAUAAGGUCCGUGUUCGAAAGGGAAACAGCCCAGACCACCAGCUAAGGUCCCAAAAUAUAUGUUAAGUGGAAAAGGAUGUGGCGUUGCCCAGACAACUAGGAUGUUGGCUUAGAAGCAGCCAUCAUUUAAAGAGUGCGUAAUAGCUCACUAGUCGAGUGACACUGCGCCGAAAAUGUACCGGGGCUAAACAUAUUACCGAAGCUGUGGAUUGUCCUUUGGACAAUGGUAGGAGAGCGUUCUAAGGGCGUUGAAGCAUGAUCGUAAGGACAUGUGGAGCGCUUAGAAGUGAGAAUGCCGGUGUGAGUAGCGAAAGACGGGUGAGAAUCCCGUCCACCGAUUGACUAAGGUUUCCAGAGGAAGGCUCGUCCGCUCUGGGUUAGUCGGGUCCUAAGCUGAGGCCGACAGGCGUAGGCGAUGGAUAACAGGUUGAUAUUCCUGUACCACCUAUA
rnacentral:rRNA from 1 species